rnacentral:misc_RNA from 1 species
UGAAGUAUUCUCGUACUCUCAGUGAA